AUUGAACGCUGGCGGCAUGCCUUACACAUGCAAGUCGAACGGUAACAGGUUAAGCUGACGAGUGGCGAACGGGUGAGUAAUGUAUCGGAACGUGUCCAGUCGUGGGGGAUAACUGCUCGAAAGAGCAGCUAAUACCGCAUACGAUCUACGGAUGAAAGCGGGGGAUCGCAAGACCUCGCGCGACUGGAGCGGCCGAUAUCUGAUUAGCUAGUUGGUGGGGUAAAGGCCCACCAAGGCGACGAUCAGUAGCUGGUCUGAGAGGACGACCAGCCACACUGGGACUGAGACACGGCCCAGACUCCUACGGGAGGCAGCAGUGGGGAAUUUUGGACAAUGGGGGCAACCCUGAUCCAGCCAUGCCGCGUGCAGGAAGAAGGCCUUCGGGUUGUAAACUGCUUUUGUCAGGGAAGAAAUCCUUUGGGCUAAUACCCUGAGGGGAUGACGGUACCUGAAGAAUAAGCACCGGCUAACUACGUGCCAGCAGCCGCCGUAA
rnacentral:rRNA from 1 species